rnacentral:rRNA from 1 species
GAUGAACGCUGGCGGCGUGCCUAAUACAUGCAAGUCGAGCGAACAGACGAGGAGCUUGCUCCUCUGACGUUAGCGGCGGACGGGUGAGUAACACGUGGAUAACCUACCUAUAAGACUGGGAUAACUUCGGGAAACCGGAGCUAAUACCGGAUAAUAUAUUGAACCGCAUGGUUCAAUAGUGAAAGACGGUUUUGCUGUCACUUAUAGAUGGAUCCGCGCCGCAUUAGAUAGUUGGUAGGGUAACGGCUUACUAAGGCAACGAUGCGUAGCCGACCUGAGAGGGGGGUAGGCCACACUGGAACUGAGACAGGGUCCAGACUCCUACGGGACGCAGCAGUAGGGAAUCUUCCGCAGUGGGCGAAAGCAUGACGGAGCAACGCCGAGUGAGUGAUGGAGGUCUUCGGAUCGUAAAACUCUGUUAUGAGGGAAGAACAAAUGUGUAAGUAACUAUGCACGUCUUGACGGUACCUAAUCAGAAAGCCACGGCUAACUACGUG